UACGUAGGGUGCGAGCGUUAAUCGGAAUUACUGGGCGUAAAGCGUGCGCAGGCGGUUUUGUAAGCCAGAUGUGAAAUCCCCGGGCUUAACCUGGGAAUGGCAUUUGGGACUGCAAGGCUUGAGUGCGGCAGAGGAGACUGGAAUUCCACGUGUAGCAGUGAAAUGCGUAGAGAUGUGGAGGAAUACCGAUGGCGAAGGCAGCCCCCUGGGAUAACACUGACGCUCAUGCACGAAAGCGUGGGGAGCAAACAGG
rnacentral:rRNA from 1 species